rnacentral:rRNA from 1 species
UACGAAGGGGGGCUAGCGUUGUUCGGAUUUACUGGGCGUAAAGCGCACGUAGGCGGACUUUUAAGUCAGGGGUGAAAUCCCAGAGCUCAACUCUGGAACUGCCUUUGAUACUGGAAGUCUUGAGUAUGGAAGAGGUUGGUGGAACUGCGAGUGUAGAGGUGAAAUUCGUAGAUAUUCGCAAGAACAUCCAGUGGCGAAGGCGGCCAACUGGUCCAUUACUGACGCUGAGGUGCGAAAAGCGUGGGGGA